rnacentral:rRNA from 1 species
UCGUUGAUUUCACACUGCCGAGAAAAGCCUCUAGAUAGAAAAUAGGUGCCCGUACCGCAAACCGACACAGGUAGUCAAGAUGAGAAUUCUAAGGUGAGCGAGCGAACUCUCGUUAAGGAACUCGGCAAAAUGACCCCGUAACUUCGGGAGAAGGGGUGCUCUUUAGGGUUAACGCCCAGAAGAGCCGCAGUGAAUAGGCCCAAGCGACUGUUUAUCAAAAACACAGGUCUCUGCUAAACCGUAAGGUGAUGUAUAGGGGCUGACGCCUGCCCGGUGCUGGAAGGUUAAGAGGAGUGGUUAGCUUCUGCGAAGCUACGAAUCGAAGCCCCAGUAAACGGCGGCCGUAACUAUAACGGUCCUAAGGUAGCGAAAUUCCUUGUCGGGUAAGUUCCGACCCGCACGAAAGGCGUAACGAUUUGGGCACUGUCUCAACGAGAGACUCGGUGAAAUCAUAGUACCUGUGAAGAUGCAGGUUACCCGCGACAGGACGGAAAGACCCCGUGGAGCUUUACUGUAGCCUGAUAUUGAAAUUCGGCACAGCUUGUACAGGAUAGGUAGGAGCCUUUGAAACGUGAGCGCUAGCUUACGUGGAGGCGCUGGUGGGAUACUACCCUAGCUGUGUUGGCUUUCUAACCCGCACCACUUAUCGUGGUGGGAGACAGUGUCAGGCGGGCAGUUUGACUGGGGCGGUCGCCUCCUAAAAGGUAACGGAGGCGCUCAAAGGUUCCCUCAGAAUGGUUGGAAAUCAUUCAUAGAGUGUAAAGGCAUAAGGGAGCUUGACUGCGAGACCUACAAGUCGAGCAGGGUCGAAAGACGGACUUAGUGAUCCGGUGGUUCCGCAUGGAAGGGCCAUCGCUCAACGGAUAAAAGCUACCCCGGGGAUAACAGGCUUAUCUCCCCCAAGAGUUCACAUCGACGGGGAGGUUUGGCACCUCGAUGUCGGCUCAUCGCAUCCUGGGGCUGUAGUCGGUCCCAAGGGUUGGGCUGUUCGCCCAUUAAAGCGGUACGCGAGCUGGGUUCAGAACGUCGUGAGACAGUUCGGUCCCUAUCCGUCGUGGGCGUAGGAAAUUUGAGAGGAGCUGUCCUUAGUACGAGAGGACCGGGAUGGACAUACCUCUGGUGUACCAGUUGUCGUGCCAACGGCAUAGCUGGGUAGCUAUGUGUGGACGGGAUAAGUGCUGAAAGCAUCUAAGCAUGAAGCCCCCCUCAAGAUGAGAUUUCCCAACUUCGGUUAUAAGAUCCCUCAAAGAUGAUGAGGUUAAUAGGUUCGAGGUGGAAGCAUGGUGACAUGUGGAGCU